rnacentral:rRNA from 1 species
CACGUAGGCACCAAGCGUUGUCCGGAUUUAUUGGGCGUAAAGAGCUCGUAGGCGGUUCAGUAAGUCGGGUGUGAAAACUCUGGGCUCAACAGAGACGCCACCCGAUACUGCUGUGACUUGAGUACGGUAGGGGAGUGGGGAAUUCCUGGUGUAGCGGUGAAAUGCGCAGAUAUCAGGAGGAACACCGGUGGCGAAGGCGGGUCUCUGGGCCGUAACUGACGCUGAGGAGCGAAAGCAUGGGGAGCGAACAGG